rnacentral:lncRNA from 13 species
AAAUGAAUUCAGAUUGUGUGUUUGACAACCUGAAGGAUGCUAGACAAGGCAGUACCCCUGUGGAACAGAAUAGAGAUUCUGAGGAACUGAAAAGGAGAAGCGACGAAGACAUGAUUCAGGAUAUUAUAACUCUGCACAAAAAAUGUAAAGGAUUAUACGAUCUUACAUCUGCUAAUUGUGAGCAACUUGCGACAGUAAUUCGCUAUGGUUCUGCAAGCUGCAUACAGGAAGGUACCAAUAUAUUCAUCCAACUUUUUGCUGCAAACUACUGCUAUAAGGAACUGAUCACUUCAAUGAUCAAGAAGAAGCAGAAGAGGGUGCGUGGCAGAAGAAGUCUUGGUCUCCUACAGGAUGAAACCCGAGCCAACCAGGGUGCACCAGCUUGAGUUCUAAACCUCUCAGAUGUUCUCUCUCUCUUCCAUCCUCUCUGUCUGUGUAUGAAGUGAGGUCUAAACCUCUCAGAUGUUAUCUCUCUCUCUUCCAUCCUCUCUGUCUCUGUAUGAAGUGAGGUCUAAACCUCUCAGAUGUUCUCUCUCUCUUCCAUCCUCUCUGUCUCUGUAUGAAGUGAGGUCUAAACCUCUCAGAUGUUCUCUCUCUCUUCCAUCCUCUCUGUCUCUGUAUGAAGUGAGGUCUAAACCUCUCAGAUGUUCUCUCUCUCUUCCAUCCUCUCUGUCUAUGUAUGAAGUUAGGUCUUAAUAAUAAUAAAACAUGAGCAAGAAUUCUGUUUCCUGUCUGUUUUAUUGUCUGUUAACUGCAUCCACAUCCAUGUUUUAGAGUGAGACGGUACACUGCUGAGAGAAGCAGAAUAUAUUCAGACUUUACUUUAGGGUAGAAUCUACAUAUAGUUUAUAAAGGGUUUGUCAAUUAACUGUUACAUUUUAGAAAUAAGGGAUUAUCCAGUGUUACUGAGUUUAUGGUCGCACAAUUUCAGGUGUGAAUUUAGAAAGGUUAACAAAGUACUGUAUUGGUAAUAUGGGGUUAAUAGAAAAAUAAUAAUCUAAAACUGACUGGAUAAUAUUUCUAUUGGUGUUUUACUGUAAGACGAGGAAAUGUUGGAGACAUUACUGUCAGCAGCAUGUGGACAUGAUUAUCACUGAUGUAAUAGUUGAAUCCCAACACUAGAUGGCAGACAAUGUACAACAUAAAGACCUUUGGACGACUCUAGUGUGUUACAGCAGCCUACUCAUCUUGGAAGGUGGCAAAGCUACAGCGGUGUUGGUCAGACCAUGAGGCAUCCCGUAAAUCAGUAAUCUAACAAAACAUCUGUACAGUGCAUUCGGAAAGUAUUCAGACCCCUUGACUUUUUCCACAUUUUGUCAUUUUACAGCCUUGUUCUAAAAUUGAUUAAAUAAAACAAUUCCUCAUCAAUCUACACAUAAUACCCCAUAAUGACAAGUGUAUUAAAUUAAAAAAACUUUUUUGCAAGUGUAUUAAAAUGAAAAAAACUUAUUUAGAUAAGUAUUCACACCCUUUGAAGUUUUCACAACCUUCCAGAAAGACAACCAUCUCUGCAGCACUCCACCAGCCAGGCCUUUAUGGUAGAGUGGCCAGACGGAAGACACUCCUCACUAAAAGGCACAUGACAGCUCACUUGGAGUUUUCCAAAAGGCACCCAAAGACUCUCAGACCAUGAGAAACAAGAUUCUCUGGUCUGAUGAAACCAAGAUUGAACUAUUUGGCCUGAAUGCCAAGCAUCAUGUCUGGAGGAAACCUGGCACCAUCCCUACAGUGAUGCAUGGUUGUGGCAGUAUCAUGUUGUGGGGAUGUUUUUCAGGGACUGAGAGACAUGUCAGGAUUAAGGCAAGGAUGAACGGAGCAAUGUACAGAGAGAUCCUUGAUAAAACCUGCUCCAGAGCGCUCAGGACCUCAGACUGGGGCGAAGGUUCACCUUCCAACAGGGCAGUGACCCUAAGCACACAGCCAAGACAACGCAGGAGUUGCUUCAGGACAAGUCUCUGAAUGUCCUUGAGUGGCCCAGCCAGAGCCCAGACUCUAACCCAAUCGAACAUCUCUGGAGAGACAUGAAAAUAGCAGUGCAGAUACGCUCCCCAUCCAACCUGACAGAGCUUGAGAGGAUAUGCAGAGAAGAAUGGGAGAAACUCCCCAAAUAUCAAAUCAAAUGUAUUUAUAUAGCCCUUCGUACAUCAGCUGAUAUCUCAAAGUGCUGUACAGAAACCCAGCCUAAAACCCCAAACAGCAAGCAAUGCAGGUGUAGAAGCACGGUGGCUUGGAAAAACUCCCUAGAAAGGCCAAAACCUAGGAAGAACCUAGAGAGGAACCAGGCUAUGUGGGGUGGCCAGUCCUCUUCUGGCUGUGCCGGGUGGAGAUUAUAACAGAACAUGGCCAAGAUGUUCAAAUGUUCAUAAAUGACCAGCAUGGUCUAAUAAUAAUAAGGCAGAACAGUUGAAACUGGAGCAGCAGCACGGCCAGGUGGACUGGGGACAGCAAGGAGUCAUCAUGUCAGGUAGUCCUGAUGCACGGUCCUAGGGCUCAGGUCCUCCGAGAGAGAGAAAGAAAGAGAGAAAGAGAGAAUUAGAGAGAGCACACUUAAAUUCACACAGGACACCGAAUAGGACAGGAGAAGUACUCCAGAUAUAACAAACUUACCCUAGCCCCCGACACAUAAACUACUGCAGCAUAAAUACUGGAGGCUGAGACAGGAGGGGUCAGGAGACACUGUGGCCCCAUCCGAGGACACCCCCGGACAGGGCCAAACAGGCAGAAUAUAACCCCACCCACUUUGCCAAAGCACAGCCCCCACACCACUAGAGGGAUAUCUUCAACCACCAACUUACCAUCCUGAGACAAGGCAGAGUAUAGCCAACAAAGAUCUCGCCACGGCACAACCCAAGGGGGGAUGCCAACCCAGACAGGAAGAUCACGUCAGUGACUCAACCCACUCAAGUGACGCACCCCUCCUAGGAAUGGCAUUAGAGAGCACCAGUAAACCAGUGACUCAGCCCCUGUAAUAAUUAAAGGCAGAGAAUCCCAGUGGAGAGAGGGGAACCGGCCAGGCAAAGACAGCAUGGGCGGUUCGUUGCUCCAGUGCCUUUCCGUUCAUCUUCACACUCCUGUGCUGGACUACACUCAAUCAUAGGACCUACUGAAGAGAUGAGUCUUCAAUAAAGACUUAAAAGUUGAGACCGAGUCAGCGUCUCUCACAUGGGUUGGCAGACCAUUCCAUAAAAAGGGAGCUCUGCUUCCAGCUGUUUGCUUAGAAAUUCUAGGGACAGUAAGGAGGCCUACAUCUUGUGACCAUAGCGUACGUGUAGGCACGGCAGGACCAAAUCAGAAAGAUAGGUAGGAGCAAGCCCAUGUAAUGCUUUGUAGGUUAGCAGUAAAACCUUGAAAUCAGCCCUUGCCUUAACAGGAAGCCAGUGUAGAGAGGCUAGCACUGGGAUUUACAGUUGAUUUGUCAGAGUACAAACCAUCCACAGAGACAAACUGUUAUCUUUCCGACAGAUAUGAUCUAAACCAGGCCAGAGCUGGUCCAUGUAGACCAAUUUGAGAUUCCAAUCUCUCCCAAAAAAUGUAGUGAUCGAUGGUAUCAAAAGCAGCACUAAGGUCUAGGAGCACGAGGACAGAUAACGAGCCUCAGUCUGACGCCAAUUAAAGGUAAUUUACCACCUUCACAAGUGCAGUCUCAGUGGUAUGAUGGGGUCUGAAACCUGACUGAAGCGUUUCGUAUACAUUGUUUGUCUUCAGGAAGGCAGUGAGUUGCGAUGCAACAGCUUUUUCUGAAAGGAAUGGGAUGAGUUCUUUAUAUUUUCAGGGUCAAGGUUUGGAUUUUUAAGAGAGGCUUCAUUACUGCCUCUUUUUGUGAGUUUGGUACACAUCCGGUGGAUAGAGAGACGUUUAUUAUGUUCAACAUAGGAGGGCCAAGCACAGGAAGCAGCUCUUUCAGUAGUUUAGUUGGAAUAGGGUCCAGUAUGCAGCUGGAAGGUUUAGAGGCCAUGAUUAUUUUCAUCAAUGUGUCAAGAGAAAUAGUACUGAAAAACUUUAGUGUCUCCCUUGAUCCUAGGUCACGGCAGUGUUGUGCAGACUCAGGACAACUGAGCUUGAAGGAAUACGCAGAUUUAAAGAGGAGUCCGUAAUUUGCUUUCUGAUGAUCAUGAUCUUUUCCUCAACGUUGUUCAUGAAUUUAUCACUGCUGAAGUUAAAGCCACCCUCUCUUGGGGAAUGCUGCUUUAUA